GCUCGGAUGGUGGAACCGGUAGACACUGGGGACUUAAAAUCCCCUGACCGCAAGGUCGUGCGAGUUCAAGUCUCGCUCUGAGCA
rnacentral:tRNA from 1 species